GAGAGGGCGUGGCGAGGGAAGCAGAGGAGCGCAACAGAGGAAGUCCACCUGGGAUGAUAUCCAACAACUCAUGAGAGUGUUCUUCAUGAUCAAAGAGAGAGAGAGGAUAGUACAGGAAGCCAGAAAAAAAAGUCCCAGGGUUACCAUUGAUUACCAGGCUAUCAUCGACAGCAGAUUUGACUAGACCUGACUGGGACUUAAUAUGGCAGGAGGUAUCUUCAGCACCCGUCCUGGACAAAUGACACCAACGUGGGGCAUAAGAGGAGUUUCAAGUUUCCUCACAAGAAAAGUGAUAAAGUGUCUUCUGCCACCCAAGAGAUUUCACUAACGAAGGCGACUAGCUGUGGAGGAGUAAACAACCUAUGCAGUAAAAAAUUAACUCAUAAAAAACAUCGCUCCUCAGAUGAGCUUUCCAGUCACGUGGUAGGGAAGCUCUCUUCUUUCCCUUCCUUUUGCUUUGCCCUCUCCCCUCCCUUCCCUUUCUCUUCUCCUUAACUCCUCCCUCCCCCACUUCUUGUAUAUCAUGCUGAUCUCAAACUUACUAAGGUUGACUUUGAACUUCUUUUUUUUUUUUGUUCUUUUUUUUCGGAGCUGGGGACCGAACCCAGGGCCUUGUGCUUCCUAGGUAAGCGCUUUACCACUGAGCUAAAUCCCCAGCCC
ensembl:lncRNA LOC102552779 uncharacterized LOC102552779